CGCAGGCUCUGUUCCUACACCUCCAUGCCCAACAAACACACGUUCUCUUGCUUCCCCCAGAAAAACAGCACACCCCCCAAACAACAAACCCAAACCAACAGAUAACAGACCAAAUCAAAUUCCCCAAGGCUUUUAGACCAAUGUUUAGACAAAGAAGAUUCUGACAAUGGAACAUUUUUUUUUUUUUUUUGGCUUCUUUCCACAAGAAGAGGAGGGGGAGACCUCAGACAAGAGCAAAUCACUCCUAAAAUACGAUAAACUACACGUGUUUCCAGUAGGGAGAGACGCCGAAAGGAGCCUGUUUGCGUACUGCGGCUGCCCUGUGAUUCUGGAUCUUGUCUCCUGGCCGGCGCCUCGAUUCCUACCCAGCUGGAUUGGGGGGCAACACUGCCUGGCGCAGCCAAGAGAGCGAAUGAGACCACAAAGAAGCAUAAAAUGAAUAGAUAAUCCAACCAACCAAAGGUAAUUUAAAAUUUUACAUUUGAUAAAAUUAAGGUGAUGUGCAAAAUAGAAAUAGGGUAUUAUUUACUGGGUGGCAGACCUGCAGUGUAUUGCAUAUCUCCCAAUUCUUGUGAUAGAAACAAUUCCAGAAAUAUAUAAGUUUCCAUAUGUGCAGUUUUCUCCUGAUAGGUAUUCCUGUCUAUAUUAUAUAUUAAGGAUAAUGCAAAUAUAACCUUAACUGCUAAUAAAAAAGAAACUCAGUGUACA
rnacentral:lncRNA from 1 species